rnacentral:rRNA from 1 species
GACGAACGCUGGCGGCGUGCUUAACACAUGCAAGUCGAACGGUAAGGCCCUUCGGGGUACACGAGUGGCGAACGGGUGAGUAACACGUGGGUGAUCUGCCCUGCACUUCGGGGUAAGCCUGGGAAACUGGGUCUAAUACCGGAUAGGACCACUGCCUGCAUGGGUGGUGGUGGAAAGCUUUUGCGGUGUGGGAUGGGCCCGCGGCCUAUCAGCUUGUUGGUGGGGUGAUGGCCUACCAAGGCGACGACGGGUAGCCGGCCUGAGAGGGUGACCGGCCACACUGGGACUGAGAUACGGCCCAGUCUCCUACGGGAGGCAGCAGUGGGGAAUAUUGCACAAUGGGCGCAAGCCUGAUGCAGCGACGCCGCGUGAGGGAUGACGGCCUUCGGGUUGUAAACCUCUUUCAGCACCGACGAAGCGCAAGUGACGGUAGGUGCAGAAGAAGGACCGGCCAACUACGUGCCAGCAGCCGCGGUAA